ACUCAAAUGAAUUGACGGGAGCCCGCACAAGCGGUGGAGCAUGUGGUUUAAUUCGACGACAAACGAGAAACCUUACCAGGUCUAGACAUGUAGCUGCACGCCCUAAGAAACUAGGGAAGCCUUCGAGGGUGCUACACAGGUGCUGCAUGGCUGUCGUCAGCUCGUGGCGUGAGCUGUUGGGUUAAGUCCUCUAACGAGCGCAACCCCUGUCGAGUGUUAAAAUAUUCGCUCGAGACUGCCGGCGAUAAGCCGGAGGAAGGAAGGGAUGACGUCAAGUCAGCAUGGUCCUCUGACGACCUGGGCCACACACGUGCUACAAUGGGGUGUAACAAUGGGUUGCCAAACCGCAAGGUGGAGCCAAUCCCACCAAACCACCCCUCAGUUCGGAUCGAGGGCUGCAACUCGCCCUCGUGAAGCUGGAAUCGCUAGUAAAUGCGCAUCAGCUAUGGCGCAUUGAAUACGUUCUCGGGCUUUGUACACACCGCCCGU
rnacentral:rRNA from 1 species